GAUGAAGGACGUAGCGAAAUGCGAUAAGUAAUGUGAAUUGCAGAAUUCAGUGAAUCAUCGAGUCUUUGAACGCACAUUGCGCCCCCUGGUAUUCCGGGGGGCAUGCCUGUCCGAGCGUCAUUGCUGCCCUCAAGCACGGCUUGUGUGUUGGGCCGUCGUCCCCCUCCUAGGGGACGGGCCCGAAAGGCAGCGGCGGCACCGCGUCCGGUCCUCGAGCGUAUGGGGCUUCGUCACCCGCUCCGUAGGCCCGGCCGGCGCUUGCCGACGACCAUCAAUCUCUUUCUCCAGGUUGACCUCGGAUCAGGUAGGGAUACCCGCUGAACUUAAGCAUAUCAAUAAGCGGAGGA
rnacentral:misc_RNA from 1 species